rnacentral:lncRNA from 1 species
CCCACCUCUGCUCUGUCCGCCGCCGCCCAUCGGAAUUCGCCACCAACGGCGACCAACCUCCAAAUCACCCUAAACUUUUACCAUUUCUUCCUCUCAACCUCCUCUCCAUGAAUCCAAGCCUCAUAUCCUCCAAAUUUCACGAAUCUAGCCUAAAUCAAAGCCCUGGCCACCACUUUUUGAUAAAUUCGUGGAGAUUGAGCCAAUUUUCU